ensembl:lncRNA
CGCGGGGGUUUUGCGGUGCGCGGAGCGGCGGGGGGUUGGGCUGCCCGCAGCCGCUCCCCGUGCGUGAAUAGUUGUCGGUAACAUCAACCUGACGUCAUCCCCGGGUAAAAAGAUCCCUCUUUUGUUCUCCUUCCCUCCCACCGCUCCCCCUUCGAAAAUGAAAAGCGUGAACAUUUGCGAAAAAUAAAAACUAACGAGGAUUGCUCUCCCCCACGUUAAUGGCCGCGCACGGGGGGAUGUAGCGCGGAGGAUCCUGCCCGGGCUGCGCCGCGCCGCGCCGCGCCGUAAUGAAGGCGCGGGCCCUUUGAUCCGGGCUUCUGCAGGCUGCCUCUCUUUUCUUAGUUCCCUCUGCUUCCCUUUUCUGCACCCUUAAAUAUGAAUGGUGAACCGAGAAGAGAGGAGGCCAAGAGGAAAAUGUGUCUUACUGAGACUUGCCAGCUAUCCAAGUUGCAUGCAGAGAGACAGUUCCAGCUCAUGCGUCUGGCUCGGACAGCAGCAUCGGCUAUCAAACACCCUGUUGCCUGCCUUGCUCCAGGCUGGAGUAACUGCUAUGAAAGGCUGGUCAGAACGUGGGACUGGAAAAGCACAGCCCCCCCAUGUUGUGCUUGGUAGGCUCCUCUCGACAUUAUGCACUGACGUGAAAGGAUAUGGCUUUCCUGCUGACUUCAGCAAGAGGUGGUGCCAGGCUUAUUCCCUGUGGAAGCCAUCUCAAGACCAGCUAUUGCACUAUGAAUCCCUUCUGCCUUGGAGGAUAACCUGCCCUGGUCUUAGCAUCCGUCAUCCUGCAGCCACCAGGAGAGGGAGUUUUGGGAUGAAACCUUCUGUAAUAUCUGACAAGACCACACGCUGCUGCAAGGACUGCUGCUCUCAACCAGACAGGGGACUCAGAGUGUGGAGGAAAGUCUGCAGCUCCGGCCCAGGGAUAAUAUGCCUUGUAAAAGAUGUGAAGAGCAGUGGAAGGAGAGGAAUAGUGCAGGGACUCAGAGGACUGAGGCACCUCCUGUUACCGUGAAGAGGAUUCUGUAGAUCUAAUCCAGACAGUGCUGGGUAGGGCAUGCAUCCUCUGCAGAGUCCUCUUACGAAUGAGGGUGCAGCUUCAUGUUAUGGAUCCUUCAACAGGGGAUCCUAACCCCGUCUGCCACUUGCUCCCGCCCUGUGCAGGGGGCUGCUGCCUCUGCUCCCAUGCCUGGUGUGUCCAGGAGAUGUUAAAGUGAGCUAUCUAAGAAAAAAAUAGAUAAAAUUCAGCAAGAAGUGCAUAGAAAAAUAGAUGAGUAAUAGGAAAAUGGUGUUUCUUCAGGACCAAGUCAUUUUAUAGCUCUGUCUUAGCUAAGCUGGUGCAAAUGAAAGGAAUAAUCAACUCUUCUUGGGGACAGGAGAUGGCAGGGAUGAGGGUGGAUUGUGAGGGCAGGGGAGAAAACUCAACCAGUGCUGCUACCAAAGGAUUAGAAACAUUAUUACCCACCCUUAAUUAAUAGGAAUGGGAUUCAUCUAACUUGCCUAAAAACCAGGUGUGCAUACGGGCACCGGGCACAUCUGUAGAGUGAGUAUCCUAUGCCAUGUGGUAAAUCAGCUCCUGGCUGCUGAGUUGCUUUUUCUAUCCUUUGUGAGGGAGUCCAGAUGUCCAGCUGACCCAAAUGCCUAACUCUUAGCUAAAGUGAGCUCAGAUGAAUGCUACUCUUACUCUUCAAUUAGAUUAUUGUCUGAGUUUACAAAUAUAUCCAUUAACUAGUUUGAUUUGAACAGAUUCUGUAAGCACCUAAAAUUGGACCUAUGUUAAUGAUGGAAAAAACUAGUCUCUGUAGAUUACAUUGCUAAAGAAAUAUGAUCGUCCUCCAUUUUGUGUCAUUCUUUGCCAAAUGUAGUUUCUUGCCAACAGUGAAAAGUCAUGUUCUGCUGGAGGAAAUUCCUUGAAGACUUGCCAUCUCUCAACAUCACUUCUCUCUUCUAUUGUUUCUAGAAGGAAUAAAACUCCAAAGUGCUUUAAGCAAAAAUGACCACUGCUUCUCUUUGUCAUCUGAACAUAGCUUAAACUCUUCUCUAAGGACAGCUUGCUUUCAUUCUCCAGAAAGGGAUGAAACAAACCCAUGAAAUUAAAAUGCUGGGACACCUUAUCCAAAGAGUCAUUUUAUCUAAUCUGGUACCAAAAUUACUGCAGUGGCUUUAUCAUUGUUUUAUGUUUACUGGAUGUAAUAACCAUAGGCAAUGAAUGUGCUAUCUACUAUAUGGUAUACAGCAAACACAAUUAGAGUUAAGGUUAUCUAGGUACAGAUUUGAAUAUCAUUUGAAACUAUUUCUUAGGUUUAGCAUACUUGGUUUGGAGAUAAUUGAACUACCAUGUAAAAGACAAUGUAAGAGAUAAAUAUGUACUUAGUCACAAGGCUAUCUUGCUACAGCUUUUGUUUGGUGAUCAUUACAGCACUGUAAUGCUGUAAGUCAGCAUUAUGGUAUGCAAUAAGUUGCUAUUACCUGGCCAUUGAUCAGAUGAACUGUUGUCUGCUUCUCCAAGCCACCUGAAGCUGGCUGUGCUUUCCCCAUGAAAUCAGUGCAUACGUGCCUGACUGACCAGAAGAGCUG